GUCAAUACCCAGGGGCAAGGGGUGUGGAGGUGGGGAGCAGAUUUAAUGGGUGAAUUUACUUGCAGUAAAGAAAUUCUUCUCCUUGUCUUGGUCACCAUUUUUUCACCAAGAAACUAGCAUUUCCUAUCCUACUAAAAGUUUACAGUUCUUUUUUUCUUCUUCUUUUUGGUGAGCACGUUUCUGCACUGUUGAGCUGACAGCUGAAAUCUGUCCUCCUCCUGCGUGUGAUGUCAGCUGUGGGCCAGCCUGGCAGUUAUGAAGAGAAGAAGAGGGGACAGCUAGGGGGAAGAGGAAGCAUGUUACGAUUGUGACCAGACCGGCUGAAACUGUGUGUCAUGUGUCACAAACCCCACGGCCUGGCAGAUCUCCGUGGAGGGAGCUUUGCCUACUCGCAUGACAUAUCUAAAGGCUCACGGGAGGCCAGCCCGCACCUGUAAGUCUCCUGGCUGACGUGCGACCAGGCAGCCUCCAGAGAGAGAGAGAGAGGGAAAUGGGCAAGAGCUGAGACUCCAGCAGCAGCAGGAAAUGGGCUGCGUUGCAGACAGCCGGCGCCACCAAGAGUUAUUUCUAAAAUCUGGGUUCGAUUAUGAUGUGCAGUCAGGUACAAACUGACAGACGAACAACUUUCUCCCAUCUCGCGGCUGCUCCUUGUUUACAGUGCUUUCAGACUCCAUGGAAGUUUCUCUAAAGGCACCUGUGUGGUGUCUCAUAAGAGUCCGGGCUGCCAAGCGCCUCCCGUGUCAUUUCUAACAGGUGUGGAAGGUGAAAGGAAGGAACAUGAAGGAAAAGAUAAGACACGAAGAGAAGGAGCCAUGUGGAAAAACCUGGAGUGCAGAAGUGUUCGUCUGAAAGGCUACGAUGACCGUGAUGAGUGGUACAUGUACACCAUAGAAUACUACGCAGCCAUAAAAAGGAAUGAGAUCAUGUCCUUUCCAGGAACAUGGAUGGAGCUGGAAGCUGUUAACCUCUGCAAACAAACACAGGAACAGAAAACCAAACACCGCAUGUUAUCACUUAUAACUAGGAGUCGAACAAUGAGAACACAUGGACACAGGCAGGAGAACAAUACACAUUGGGCUGGUUUGGGGCACAGUGGGAGGGAGAAAUAGCUAACGCAUGUGGGGCUUAGUACCUAGGUGAUGGGUUGGUAGGUGCAGCAAACCACCAUGGCACAAUGGCACACGUUUACCUAUGUAACAAACCUGCAUGUCUGGAACUUAAAAUAAAAUUAAAUAAAAAAAGAUGCAAUUUGGUAAUCAUUAUUUUUUCAAUUGUUAUAUUUUUUUAUUUCCCUGGACUUUGAUUUGUAAAAUCUUUUAUAUAUUAAGGAAAUAAUUCAAUUUGUCAAAAGUUUUCACAACCUUUGGGUUUGCCAUUUACAUUCUAUUUUUGUUCAUAUUGGGAUUUUUUUUGGGGGGAGCUAAUUAA
rnacentral:lncRNA from 1 species